rnacentral:rRNA from 1 species
CCAAAAGCUGGCGACCGGCGCACGGGUGAGUAACACGUAUCCAACCUGCCUCAUACUCGGGGAUAGCCUUUCGAAAGAAAGAUUAAUAUCCGAUAGCAUAUAUUUCCCGCAUGGGUUCUAUAUUAAAGAAAUUCGGUAUGAGAUGGGGAUGCGUUCCAUUAGUUUGUUGGGGGGGUAACGGCCCACCAAGACUACGAUGGAUAGGGGUUCUGAGAGGAAGGUCCCCCACAUUGGAACUGAGACACGGUCCAA